CAAGUCGAACGGGAAAGUGGAGCAAUCCAUGAGUACAGUGGCGUACGGGUGAGUAACACGUGGGUGAUCUACCUUUUAGUGGGGAAUAACCCUGGGAAACCGGGGCUAAUACCGCAUAAUCCCGAGAGGGGAAAGCAGCAAUGCGCUGAAAGAGGAGCCCGCGGCCGAUUAGCUAGUUGGUAGGGUAAGAGCCUACCAAGGCAGAGAUCGGUAGCCGGCCUGAGAGGGCACACGGCCACACUGGCACUGAAACACGGGCCAGACUCCUACGGGAGGCAGCAGUGGGGAAUCUUGCACAAUGGGGGCAACCCUGAUGCAGCGACGCCGCGUGAGCGAUGAAGCCCUUCGGGGUGUAAAGCUCUUUCGGCAGGGAAGAUAAUGACGGUACCUGCAGAAGCAGCUGCGGCUAACUACGUGCCAGCAGCCGCGGUAAUACGUAGGCAGCGAGCGUUGUUCGGAGUUACUGGGCGUAAAGGGUGUGUAGGCGGUUCUUUAAGUUUGGUGUGAAAUCUCCCGGCUCAACCGGGAGGGUGCGCCGAAUACUGAGGGACUAGAGUACGGGAGAGGAAAGUGGAAUUCCUGGUGUAGCGGUGAAAUGCGUAGAUAUCAGGAGGAACACCGGUGGUGUAGACGGCUUUCUGGACCGUAACUGACGCUGAGACACGAAAGCGUGGGUAGCAAACAGGAUUAGAUACCCUGGUAGUCCACGCCCUAAACGAUGCAUAUUUGGUGUGGGCAGUUCAUUCUGUCCGUGCCGGAGCUAACGCGUUAAAUAUGCCGCCUGGGGAGUACAGUCGCAAGGCUGAAACUCAAAGGAAUUGACGGGGGCCCGCACAAGCGGUGGAGCAUGUGGUUCAAUUCGACGCA
rnacentral:rRNA from 1 species